GUGCACCAGGCGCGAACCUCCACAAUGCGGGAAACCGUGAUGGGGAAUCCGAGUGCCCGUUGGCUAAUGCUGGCGGGCUUUCUCAAGCGUAAAGGCUUGAGGAAUAAGGACUGGGUAAGACCGGUGCCAGCCGCCGCGGUAACACCGGCGGUCCAACUGGUGAUCAGCAUUACUGGGCCUAAAGCGUCCGUAGCCGGGCCCGUAAGUCCCUGGCGAAAUCCCACGGCUCAACCGUGGGGCUUGCUGGGGAUACUGCGGGUCUUGGGACCGGGAGAGGCGGGGGGUACCCCUGGGGUAGGGGUGAAAUCCUAUAAUCCCAGGGGGACCGCCAGUGGCGAAGGCGCCCCGCUGGAACGGGUCCGACGGUGAGGGACGAAGGCCAGGGGAGC
rnacentral:rRNA from 1 species